rnacentral:rRNA from 1 species
AUUGAACGCUGGCGGCAUGCCCUACACAUGCAAGUCGAACGGUAACAGGUUAAGCUGACGAGUGGCGAACGGGUGAGUAAUAUAUCGGAACGUGCCCAGUCGUGGGGGAUAACGUAGCGAAAGCUACGCUAAUACCGCAUACGAUCUACGGAUGAAAGCGGGGGAUCGCAAGACCUCGCGCGAUUGGAGCGGCCGGUAUCAGAUUAGGUUGUUGGUGAGGUAAAAGCUCACCAAGCCUGCGAUCUGUAGGUGGUCUGAGAGGACGACCAGCCACACUGGAACUGAGUCACGGUCCAGACUCCUACGGGAGGCAGCAGUGGGGAAUUUUGGACAAUGGACGCAAGUCUGAUCCAGCAAUGCCGCGUGCAGGACGAAGGCCUUCGGGUUGUAAACUGCUUUUGUACGGAACGAAACGGUGAGCUCUAAUACAGUUUGCUAAUGACGGUACCGUAAGAAUAAGCACCGGCUAACUACGUGCCAGCCGCCGCAGUAA